CCGGUGCAGGAGAAGAGCAGAGCCUACGGAGCUUGCAGCCCUGUGGGGGCCAGCUGGAUUAAAUCACCAAGGGUGACAGAUUUUCCUUCUGCUGUCCUGCUGUGGGUAGGAGCUGCCAGCAAAGGGACAGUAACGAGCAGUGGGACAGAAGAGACUUGUGAGCUGGGAAGAUGCACAAGAGCUGAGAAAAGACAUCAAGAUCAGUGUUUUGUCCCAGGAGCACCAGCCCUUCACCUGGAAGUGAGUGUAAGGGGGCAAUAACUCAGUCUCUGUGCUCUGCUCUUCAUUUGAACAUGUCAGAAAUUGCUUCACUGCAGAGGGCCAAGCUCCCAGACAGAUGCAAGAGGCUUGUGCAGGGGAGGAUUGCACUUGCAGUUUACAGCAGACUGGUUUCUGCUGAGAGGCAGAUGUGACUUUGCUGUGCAGCAGAGCCAGCCCCCAUCCCUCCUCUGUGAGCCCUGGUGGAGUCCUGAGGCGGAAAAGCCGAGUGCAGCUCCGAAGGGCACACGUUUCCUGUCUCUUCCUCCUGGCAGGUUUUGUCUGCAGACACUGGCUUGAGUACCCCGUAAUUACAUUUUCGCAUUUUUUAAUAUAGUAACACAUGGCUGGGCUUGUGGUAGGGAGCCAAGUGAUGUCUUUGGGCUGUGAGGACUAUAAAUAACCAAAGGGAUCAUUUUAUUUGGUUAUGGAAGGAAGAAGGUCUUUCUUCAGCAGUUGCUGUACAAACACAGCUUUGGAGCAAAUAAAGAAGGGUUCUUCUUUUU